UUAAUUGAAGAGUUUGAUCAUGGCUCAGAUUGAACGCUGGCGGCAGGCCUAACACAUGCAAGUCGAGCGGUAACAGAGAGAAGCUUGCUUCUCUGCUGACGAGCGGCGGACGGGUGAGUAAUACUUGGGAAUUUGCCUUUAGGCGGGGGACAACCACGGGAAACUGUGGCUAAUACCGCAUAAUGUCUACGGACCAAAGUGGGGGA
rnacentral:rRNA from 1 species